CGGCCGGGAUAGCUCAGUUGGUAGAGCAGAGGACUGAAAAUC
rnacentral:tRNA from 1 species